rnacentral:lncRNA from 1 species
UUUGUUUAGAUCCGUGACAUGGGUUAAGAAAGCUUGACAUCCAUUUUUUAAUAAACGAAUAGUUUUAUGGCUUGAGAUGACAGUGAUUGAUUUUAAUGGUUUGGUUGCUUGAAUUCGCAUAAUAGGUUGGUUAGGAAUAUGAAAGCUAACAACCUUACGAAAAUAAUCAAUUUUUGCAUGAUGAGUAGUUAACCAAUCAAUCCCUAGAAUUACGUCAAAUGCAUG